AAACAAAACCUGCAAACCUGCCAAAGUUUGAAAGGGAGAAAUGAUCAGUUGGGAAAUGAAAAAAUACCACAAAUGCAGGGGGAAGCAGCCAAUUAAGCAGGGCUGAUGUGAGAGUGUGUCUAGAGGCAGUGGAGGUCACUCCUGAAGGUGUAGCAUGAGCUACAGUGUCAUGUAAAACAGAGUGACAAAAGGAUGAUGACACCCCUGAAGAUUUGUUCCCCUGCUUCAUCUUCCUUUCUGUCUUCAGUCCUUCCUACACAAGUAACUCUUGUUCUUCUGGAGGCCAUCUGCAGAGUCUUGUGACUAAGCAAGAUCUGACUUGAUUUUUUUCUUCAUUGCUUGUGGGGUAAUCCAGAGUAAGUGCUUCUAUCACUGAAUAGAUUGUGUUUUAAUUUCUUAAUUAAAAGCUGUAGAGUACUGGGGACAAAGUCUUUAAGAAUUUCAGGUAAGUUGACACUGCUAAUGAUGGGAAAAAUGGUGAGAACUUAGCACUCCCACCUUCCUGUGCUAUCACCUUACUUCUGCUGCUGCACGCGUGCUCCAGGCAAGCUGAACUGAAGCCAUGACAGAAUUCCUGCUUUUGCUUAACUGAGUUGCAGACUGGGAAUACUGCAUCUGCUCCAGGUCAACUCCAAACAGGAGGUUUAGCUGAACAAAGCACCAACUUAUCACUUCCUACAUCUCAGUUCACCACAAAUCUUACUUUCAGUGGACAACUAUACUGAAGAUGCAGAAUGGAACUGGAGGUUUCUGGCAAGCUCAUGGGAACAGACGGCAGUUCUGACACCUGGUUAUCUUGGUUGUAACCUUUGCCUGUUCGUGGGUCUUAGAGGUUCAGCAGAAGUCUACAGCUGUGGAACAGUCUGCACUAAAGAGUGUCAUCACUGGAGAUGACAAUGCAAUGUGUGUAUGAGGGACAGAGAGGUAAAGAACAGACCGAGAGAUGUUCCACCUCCAAGUCUGAGAGGCAGCUUCUCUAGCAAACACAGCAAAACUGCUUCCUUCCGUUGUCCAGUGACAGCUACCCAGGAAGAACAGAACCAAACGUACUCCACUACUUCCUUAACCUGUUAUUGUCUCUAGUGGCAUGAGAUUUCUAUAUUGUUCUGCUAUUACUAAGCACGUUUCUAUUAAGAUGAUCCUCUGAGCCAAAUGAUAAAACAGCCAGAAUAGCAUUUGUGUAACUUUCAGAUUAACAACCUGACACACCUUUUGUUCUUAUGCUGUGGAUGUUCAUACUCUUCCUCCUUCCCUUUUGGAGCCGAAAGCAGUUGAAUUUACUUUUCUUGUAGAUAAGAAUGCAAUUUUCAUGUUAUGGACAGAAGAAGGAUGCUACAAUACGUGGUUCACAGCAGUGUAUUUUAUCCUCAAAUUUAGAAGUUGUAUAAAGGUGUUUAGAGGUGCAAAAAUACUUGUUGAGGUUAGCGACAGUCCAUUAGUAUGGAAGAUGUGCAUCAAAAUAAGAGAGUUAAUGUUUGUUUGGCAUC